rnacentral:ncRNA from 1 species
AAGCUCAGGGGGCUCAACGGGCGGCGACGCCGCGGAGGAAGCCGGUGUGAGUCCGGCGCGGUCCCGCCACUGUCACCAGGGUUUUCUCCUGGCAGCCAGGAACUCCGGUCGCCGCCUUUCCUU